rnacentral:rRNA from 1 species
GAUGAACGCUGGCGGCGUGCCUAAUACAUGCAAGUCGAGCGAACAGACGAGGAGCUUGCUCCUCUGACGUUAGCGGCGGACGGGUGAGUAACACGUGGAUAACCUACCUAUAAGACUGGGAUAACUUCGGGAAACCGGAGCUAAUACCGGAUAAUAUAUUUAACCGCAUGGUUCAAUAGUGAAAGACGGUUUUGCUGUCACUGAUAGAUGGAUCCGCGCCGCAUUAGCUAGUUGGUAAGGUAACGGCUUACCAAGGCGACGAUGCGUAGCCGACCUGAGAGGGUGAUCGGCCACCCGGGAACUGAGACACGGUCCAGACUCCUACGGGAGGCAGCAGUAGGGAAUCUUCCGCAAUGGGCGAAAGCCUGACGGAGCAAAGCCGCGUGAGUGAUGAAGGUCUUCGGAUCGUAAAACGCUGUUAUUAGGGAAGAACAAAUGUGUAAGUAACUAUGCACGUCUUGACGGUACCUAAUCAGAAAGCCACGGCUAACUACGUG